UUCCCGUACGAUCACCAAAGUUAAACAACGUCGAGCCUGGUCAGUACCUUGAUGGGUGACCGCUUGGGAAUACCAACUGCUGUAAU